AGUGAGUUAUCUCACCCGACUGUUCAGUCAGUUACAAAUUGAACUUGUUCUACUCUUUUCCCCCUUCUCACUACU
rnacentral:sRNA from 1 species